rnacentral:lncRNA from 1 species
AUGGAAAAAUCCAAGUGAACAAGAACCUCUUCUGUCCAACAGCACUCGAGGACUGAACCCUGCCAGCAACCAUGUUCAGUUGGAUGUGGAUAUCUUCCGAGCCUUCAGAAAAGACCCUAUCUCCUGAUCUGCGGCCUGUGAGAGACCCCGAGUCAGCUCCGGGUGGAGCCAUGCCCAGACUUCAGAGACCAUCUGAGAAGAACGCUGCUUUCCGCUGCCGGGUUUGACGCCUCCCCCAUCCUUAUCUCUCUGAUGGAACUGGCUCCCAGCAAGAGCUCCUGGGAACGAAAUCCCCCACUUCUUGCACCUGUGGAGGACUCCAGCCAAAGCAUUCAAUCAAGCCAGAAAUUAUGGGCAGCUGGGGUGAGCACAGGACAAGGAGAGGAGCUGUGCACCCAAGAGCCGGAGCCUCAGGAGAGGCCGAAGUGGAUGCGGAGCUGGAAGGAUGCGUUUCAUGCCCACCUUUUGGAUGGCGCUGAUCAUUGUGAGUCCUUGGUGGGACAACAGUGGAUGCAAAAUCCAUGGAACUGA